GUCUACGGCCAUCCUACCCUGAACAAGCCCAAUCCCAUCUGAUCUGAGAAGUUAAGCAGGGUUGGGCCUGGUUAGUAUUUGGAUGGGAGACCACCUAGGAAGCCCAGGUGCUGUAGGCA
rnacentral:rRNA from 1 species